AGCGAUUUAGCGGAAGUUUUCGGAUGGAAGCCAAAUUGACUGAGUGGCGGACGGGUGAGUAACGCGUGGGUAACCUGCCUCAUACAGGGGGAUAACAGUUAGAAAUGACUGCUAAUACCGCAUAAGCGCACGAGGAUGCAUGUUCUUGUGUGAAAAACUCCGGUGGUAUGAGAUGGACCCGCGUCUGAUAGCUAGUUGGAGGGGUAACGGCCCACCAAGGCGACGAUCAGUAGCCGACCUGAGAGGGUGACCGGCCACAUUGGGACUGAGACACGGCCCAAACUCCUACGGGAGGCAGCAGUGGGGAAUAUUGCACAAUGGGGGAAACCCUGAUGCAGCAACGCCGCGUGAGUGAAGAAGUAUUUCGGUAUGUAAAGCUCUAUCAGCAGGGAAGAAGAUGACGGUACCUGAGUAAGAAGCCCCGGCUAACUACGUGCCAGCAGCCGCGGUAAUACGUAGGGGGCAAGCGUUAUCCGGAUUUACUGGGUGUAAAGGGAGCGUAGACGGCUGCGCAAGUCUGAAGUGAAAGCCCGGGGCUCAACCCCGGGACUGCUUUGGAAACUGUGUAGCUAGAGUGCUGGAGAGGCAAGCGGAAUUCCUAGUGUAGCGGUGAAAUGCGUAGAUAUUAGGAAGAACACCAGUGGCGAAGGCGGCCUGCUGGACGACAACUGACGGUGAGGCGCGAAAGCGUGGGGAGCAAACAGGAUUAGAUACCCUGGUAGUCCACGCUGUAAACGAUGGAUACUAGGUGUGCGGGGACUGACCCCCUGCGUGCCGCAGUUAACACAAUAAGUAUCCCACCUGGGGA
rnacentral:rRNA from 1 species